GAUCGCGCCCUGAGCCAAAGGCAGACGCUCAACCACUGAGCCCCCCAGCCGUCCCUGGUAGAUUUUAAAGGCAACGGCAAGAGGAUUCUAGUGUGGAGUGUGAGAUAAAUCAAUAAGCCCAAGGAUGGAGUUUCUACCUUGAACAACAGGAGAAUGGAGUUGCCACUUACUGGAUUAGAGAAGAAUUGGGAAGAAAUGGGUUUGGGGACUUAGCAAAUGCUAUGGAUGCCUUGUCCCCCCUCCCUCAAGCUACUUCUGAGUUUACUUGCAGCUUGGCCAACUCAUCCCUCUACCUGGCUGUCCUGGGGACUCCUUUGCUGGGGAACUUUGCUUCCACUUCCUGUUCUAACCUCCUGUGUAAGUUAGCGUUUGCCGCAUAACAAACUACCUUAAAAUGUAGUGGAUUAAAACAACUCUUAUUUUUGCUCACGAUUUUUCGUCUCAGCAUCUGAUCUGGUCUCAGCUGGGUGACUCUUCUGCUGGCCUUGCCCAUGUCACUUAGUGCUCUAAUCGUCUGGCAGCUUGAUUGGUGCUGAGUGGUCUAAGGUGAGCUCUGCUGGUAGAUGGCAGGUGCUGGUUGUCAGCUGGUUAAUUUAAGAGGCUUCAGACGGACCAGCUCAUCUACCUCCCGGGCCCUCUCUUCCUUCUCUAGCAGAGAUGGGGACUCUUCACGUGGCAGUCUUGGGGCAGCAUCAUAAGGGGGGCAAAAGUGGAAGCUACAAAACACCCUGAGGCCUGGGGUCAGAAGCCCCCCAGUGUCACUUCUGCAUUCUUUGGAUCAGGGUGUGCAAAUAAAGCUGGAGUUGAGAAGGAAGCCAAGGAGGGGCAACCAUCUGCAGAAACAGGAUCCUACGUCCUAGGCUUUUGUUACCUCAUUAGCUUGAGUGCUUUCAGGAGGACAUUUAAUGCUUCAACUUCAAUUAGCAAGCUCUCCUGGAAGAAAAUACAUACCACUGUCAUUUCUAAAUUGUACGACCUUACAAAAUUUGAUUUCCACAAAAGAAUGUGAAAAUCAUCUUAGAUAAUCUAGGCAGCAAUUUCAUCUGACAAAUGUGAGAUUUGAUUCUUUCAAACAAGAAGACCUGAAAGGCAAAACUGCUUUCAUGUGAAAAAUAAACACCCGUGAUGUCAACUGUUUAAUAUCAAUUACUCCCAAAAUCCUUUUUUCCUAGAUUUACUUCUAAAUAAAA